ensembl:lncRNA
AUGGUGCCUAACUCUUGCUGGGUUAAAACACUGUGCCCAAGGGGCGGCCUUUUCCUCUGGCUAGCAAAAUGGCACAGGGGAGCUCUCCCCAGGUCUUCUGCAUCCUUCUCCUUCUUCCACAUGAGGGAAUCAGGCCACAGAUCACAACCAUCCCAUGCCCUACACAGCCAGGGUUGGACACUGCAGCAGCCUGCAGACGUCAUAGUGGCCACCGCUGCCCCACCCUUUGCACCGCACCCCACAAGUCCGGGGCUGGCCAGCUGGCCCACCGCUUGCCAAGCUCAGGCCUACUGGUGCCACGCGUGCUUGGACGGGAGAGGAGCCAGAGCAGGAAGGCAGGCGGCUGCCCACCCGGGUCUGCGGCGAGAGAGAGGCAGUGCCAGGAAGCACAGAGGAGGACGCCACCUGGCACGCAGACCAAGUGCAACGGGCGCACGAGAGGCACUGCUGCGCGAGAGCCACAGCCAUCGCUUUUGUGUCCAGUGGCGUGCAGCCCACCGACUAGUCUCCAGGAAGGAACGAGAUGACGCACAGGGAGACUUCAGUUGGAACCAGCUAUGCUGGGAGUCACAGCAGCAUACGUUGACAGGAGGCAGUACCUCACACCUCAUAAAGAGGAGAAAAGAAGCUGCAGCAAUGAUGAGAAAUGGAACGAUGAAGCCUCUCAGAAAGAGUGAUAGGCUGUUUGAGUCACGUCUUUACAACAACCCUAAUGGAGCAACCUGUCAGACUGUUUACAUGCCUAAAGAUACAGACAACAGAAUGAUACAAACAGCCAUCUCCAAAAGCACCCAUAUUCAGAUCCUCUCAAACUGGGCACUCAGCCAUUUUUGAUAAUGCACCUUUGAAUGGUUUGCUGAGCAAACUUAUGUCAGGAACUUCAGGAUGAGAGAGACAUUCAUCAUUCAUUAAAACUUUAGUCACGGGCUGUAGAUAAAGCACUUCUUCAUUUACCGGCAACACCCUAGGGGGUGUUACUGCUGACUUUACCUUUUCCAGGAGUAAAGUUGCCCUAGACGUCUUCCAGCUUGUCAUCAUUUUUGUGCAGCGCUCUGGCCCUGACCAUUGACAAAGACUGUUAGUCUGGUGGGUCUACCACAUCAUCAGUAUGGGGUCAAGCAAUCCACCUGCACUCUCAAAUGAUAGGAUCUAGCUCCUUGCAUAGAUAGAAGAAAAUUGUCCCAGGCUUGAUCUUACUUAGGUGAAAGCAGUGUCUGUUUGUGGGUUAAAACACAUAACACAUGUAGCUAGCUGGUACCCAAGUGGCUGCACUGGACAUGCAGGCCUGACUUUCUCUACAUUACCUUGCUGACUGUCAGCAGAAUUGCAUUGUUUGUGUGGCCAGAUAUCCUUUUUUUGCACCUUGGAUUGUCCAGAGAUUCUGACUUCUCCUGCAGUAGGUGGGACUUCAGUCACUUCAGAGUCUCCCAGAUUUCUGCAUAAAAUUUCAGAGAUUUCCAAAUACAGUAACCCAGGCUUGAAAGCAUCUCUAUGCUUAAGCCUGUGCCAUGCUGAAGUACUGUGAGCACCUGGACACCUUCACAUGCACACAAACAUGUUUGCUCUCGCAUCUGCUUGGCCGCCUACUCUACCCUGCGGCCAACCAUAUUCCCAUCCCAACAUACUUUCCUGUUUGCUAGAGACAAUGCAGCAUCAUCUUAAAAAAGAUAUAACCCAACUGGGAAUGGAGAAGGCAAAUAGCUGGCAGCACCACUGCCUUCCUCUAAUGGUCCCAGCUUUCAGUUGUCUUCUCCCUUGCCAGCCAUCUGUCCUUCAGUAAGUCGGGCUGGCUACUGACCAUCUGAUAUGGAGAAGAUGUCUGGCACUUCAUGCUCUAAAUAGACACUCUGAUGUAGCCUCUUAUCCUUGCCAAAUGCACCAGCACUAGGCUAGAUAAGGGAGAGCCAGGGCUGAAUUGUGUAUACGACUGCAUUACCUAGAACUAAUAUAAAUAUUUGUCCAUAUAUUCAACAAACGUAGAGCCUAGCACCACUAGCUCUAAUGAACCAGUGCCAUUUCACAUCAGUCCUCCUGAACAGGAGCAAGCUGUUCACAAUGUGUUUAAUUGCAGACACAAGAGAAUUUUACAAUUUUUUCAGGAAAGAUCUAUUUUCCUGUUAUCUUAAUCAGACUUUUUCCAGUCAAAAUUUUACUUCCACUUCAUGGAGGGCAACUUAAGAUUAAAAAGUCUUGUAAAAGUCAACGAUAAGGUAGAGUCAGGAUUGGUCUAAAAUCCAGCUCCUAAAAUAUAUUAUCAGACUCCAGAGUCUCCUGUCUUAUACUGACUUCUUACAUGCAUCUUCGUGUCUUCACACCAAUAUAUAUGUGUAGUUUCUCACUCUGUGGAUACAAGUGACAGCCUUCCUGUCACUCUCCUGUAGUAGACAUUUGCCUUUUUCCUACAUCCUUCUCUUCUACAAAGAAGGUCCCUCUGACCCAUGAUGUAUGGCAGUGCAUAGGUUCUGCAUACUUCUUUAGCAGCAAAUUUUUGUUGCUGCUUUGAACAAUGAGAAGAAUUAAAAACUCCUGGAAAUGUAUCUGCUUGAAGAAAAUAAACCUGUUUGUUUUCUUGCA